rnacentral:rRNA from 1 species
UACAGAGGUCUCAAGCGUUGUUCGGAUUCAUUGGGCGUAAAGGGUGCGUAGGCGGCGCGGUAAGUCGGGUGUGAAAUCUCGGAGCUUAACUCCGAAACUGCAUUCGAUACUGCCGUGCUUGAGGACUGGAGAGGAGACUGGAAUUUACGGUGUAGCGGUGAAAUGCGUAGAUAUCAGGAGGAACACCAAUUGCGAAGGCAGCUCGCUGGGACGCUACUGACGCUGAGACGCGAAAGCGUGGGGAGCAAACAGG